ACGGAAGGCAGCAGUGGGGAAUAUUGCACAAUGGGGGAAACCCUGAUGCAGCAACGCCGUGUGAGUGAAGAAGUAUUUCGGUAUGUAAAGCUCUAUCAGCAGGGAAGAUAAUGACGGUACCUGACUAAGAAGCUCCGGCUAAAUACGUGCAGCAGCCGCGGUAAUACGUAUGGAGCAAGCGUUAUCCGGAUUUACUGGGUGUAAAGGGUGCGUAGGUGGCAUGGUAAGUCAGAUGUGAAAUACCGGGGCUCAACCCCGGAGCUGCAUUUGAAACUGCCAGGCUGGAGUACAGGAGAGGCAAGCGGAAUUCCUAGUGUAGCGGUGAAAUGCGUAGAUAUUAGGAGGAACACCAGUGGCGAAGGCGGCUUGCUGGACUGUUACUGACACUGAGGCACGAAAGCGUGGGGAGCAAACAGGAUUAGAUACCCUGGUA
rnacentral:rRNA from 1 species